ACCCAGAGGUGUGGAAUAACUGUGGGAAACUACAGCUAAUACCGCAUAAGCCCGAAGGUUUAGGUACUUUUGGGGAAAGAUUUAUUGCCUUUGGAUCAACCCGCGUCAGAUUAGCUAGUUGGUGGGGUAACGGCCCACCAAGGCGACGAUCUGUAGCUGGUCUGAGAGGAUGACCAGCCACACUGGGACUGAGACACGGCCCAGACUCCUACGGGAGGCAGCAGUGGGGAAUAUUGGACAAUGGGCGCAAGCCUGAUCCAGCCAUGCCGCGUGAGUGAUGACGGCCUUAGGGUUGUAAAGCUCUUUUAACAGGGACGAUAAUGACGGUACCUGUAGAAUAAGCCCCGGCUAACUUCGUGCCAGCAGCCGCGGUAAUACGAAGGGGGCUAGCGUUGUUCGGAAUUACUGGGCGUAAAGCGCACGUAGGCGGAUUCUUAAGUCGGGGGUGAAAUCCUGAGGCUCAACCUCAGAACUGCCUUCGAUACUGGGGAUCUUGAGUUCGGAAGAGGUUGGUGGAACAGCUAGUGUAGAGGUGAAAUUCGUAGAUAUUAGCUAGAACACCAGUGGCGAAGGCGGCCAACUGGUCCGACACUGACGCUGAGUCGUAGCGUACCCC
rnacentral:rRNA from 1 species